rnacentral:tRNA from 1 species
GGGUGGUUAGCUCAGCUGGGAGAGCAUCGCCCUUACAAGGCGAGGGUCACUGGUUCGAACCCAGUACCACCCACCA